rnacentral:rRNA from 1 species
UCCGUAGGUGGAUAAUUAAGUCAGAGGUGAAAUCCUGCAGCUCAACUGUAGAAUUGCCUUUGAUACUGGUUAUCUUGAGUCAUUAUGAAGUGGUUAGAAUGUGUAGUGUAGCGGUGAAAUGCAUAGAUAUUACACAGAAUACCGAUUGCGAAGGCGGAUCACUAAUAAUAUACUGACACUGAGGGACGAAAGCGUGGGGAGCGAACAGGAUUAGAUACCCUGGUAGUCC